UGCGCAGCUCCUGCUCCUGUUCCGGUCCUGUCUUGUGGCCGUGAUCUUGCAGGACUGCUGAGAGGAACAGAAGAAGAAAAGGCGGAGCUUCUAGAGCACUGGAGUUUUUCCGUGCGAUAUUUUUCUGACACUCGAACCCUGUUUGUUCCACGGAGGUGACGGUUCUCCCCGUACCGUUACUCAUCCACACACAGGCACAGAAACGCAGUGCAGUGAGAUAUUGUCUGUGAGGAAGAGCUCACCUUUUAGACACUUCACACUGACACACUG
ensembl:scaRNA SCARNA13 Small Cajal body specific RNA 13